UCUUCUUCUUGGUCUUUUGGCUAAGAUUGUCAUGUCUGUUCUUGUCUGUUUAAUAUCUGAUAGGUCUUUGCUGUGAGGACUUGCUAUUAAAUAGCUUUGUGGAGCUGGGCUAUGUAUGGUUUGUGGGUUUGCACUGUCUUCCCCCUGCACUGAUACCCCUC
rnacentral:snRNA from 1 species